rnacentral:rRNA from 1 species
AGUGAACGCUGGCGGUAUGCCUAACACAUGCAAGUCGAGCGGCAGCACAGGAAGAGCUUGCUCUUACGGGUGGCGGGGGGCGGACGGGUGAGGAAUAGAUUGGAAUCCACUUUUUCGGGGGGGAUAACGGAGGGCAACUGACGCUAAUACAGCAUACGUUCUACGGGAGAAAGCAAGGGAGCAUGGGGCCUUGCGCGAUUGAAUGAGCCGAUGCCGGAUUGGCUAGUUGGCGGGGUAAGGGCACACCAAGCCAACGAUCCGUAGCCGGGCUGAGAGGAUGGUCGGCCACACUGGAACUUGGACACGGUCCAGACCCCUACGGGAGGCAGCAGUUGGGAAUUUUGGGCAAUGGGCGCAAGCCUGAUCCAGCCAUACCGCGUGGGUGAAGAAGGUCUUCGGGUUGUAAAGCCCUUUUGUUGGGAAAGAAAAGCAGCAGGUUAAUACCCCGCUGUUCUGACGGUACCCAAACAAUAAGCACCGGCUAACUUCGUG